rnacentral:misc_RNA from 1 species
GAUGAAGAACGUAGUGAAAUGCGAUAAGUAGUGUGAAUUGCAGAAUUCAGUGAAUCAUCGAAUCUUUGAACGCACAUUGCGCCCCUUGGUACUCCAUGGGGCAUGCCUGUUCGAGCGUCAUUUACACCCUCAAGCUCAGCUUGGUGUUGGGCGUCUGUCCCGCUUCGUGCGCGGACUCGCCUCAAAUGCAUUGGCAGCGGUCUUGCCAGCUUCUCGCGCAGCACAUUGCGCUUCUAGAGGCUUUGGCGGAUCGGCGUCCAUCAAGUACACCCACAGUUUGACCUCGGAUCAGGUAGGGAUACCCGCUGAACUUAAGCAUAUCAAUAAGCGGAGGA